rnacentral:rRNA from 1 species
GAUGAACGCUGGCGGUAUGCCUAACACAUGCAAGUCGUACGAGAGUUUUUAACUCUAGUGGCGGACGGGUGAGUAACACGUGAGAAUUUGCCUUUAGGAGGGGGAUAACAAUUGGAAACGAAUGCUAAUACCCCAUAUGCUUUUGAGUGAAAUGGAUUUUAUCCGCCUAGAGAGAAGCUCGCGGCUGAUUAGCUUGUUGGUAAGGUAAGAGCUUACCAAGGCGACGAUCAGUAUCUGGUUUGAGAGGACGAUCAGACACACUGGAACUGAGACACGGCCCAGACUCCUACGGGAGGCAGCAGUGGGGAAUCUUAGACAAUGGGGGAAACCCUGAUCUAGCCAUGCCGCGUGAGCGAUGAAGGCCUUAGGGUUGUAAAGCUCUUUCAGCUGGGAAGAUAAUGACUGUACCAGCAGAAGAAGCCCCGGCUAACUCCGUG